rnacentral:rRNA from 1 species
UGGGGAAUCAUGGUCAAUGGGCGAAAGCCUGAACCUGCCAAGUCGCGUGAAGGAAGAAGGUUCUAUGGAUUGUAAACUUCUUUUGCAGGGGAAUAAAGGACGGUACGUGUACUGUUUUGUAUGUACCUUGCGAAUAAGGAUCGGCUAACUCCGUGCCAGCAGCCGCGGUAAUACGGAGGAUCCGAGCGUUAUCCGGAUUUAUUGGGUUUAAAGGGUGCGUAGGUGGAUUGUUAAGUCAGUGGUGAAAGUUUUCAGCUCAACUGAAAAAUUGCCGUUGAAACUGUCGAUCUUGAGUGCAAAUGAGGUAGGCGGAAUGUGUUGUGUAGCGGUGAAAUGCUUAGAUAUAACACAGAACUCCGAUUGCGAAGGCAGCUUACUGGGAUGCAACUGACACUGAUGCACGAAAGCGUGGGUAUCAAACA